GCAAAGAAUUGAAAACGCCUAAAUUCAUCUUUUUCCAUUUCCCCCAAAAUUCUUCCUCCAAGCUACUGAUCCUUUGAAGUAAAAUAUCAAUAGUUUGCAUCCCAAGAACAAACACCAGCAGCAGCAGAGGUCUUCAUUCGAUUCUUCUUCACAAUUCACGAUAGGUUUUCAUCUUUUUUAUGCUUCAGAUGUGAUUUUGCUCGAUGGGUUUAGCAUAUGAACUGUUUUAUUUUUAUUUUUUUAAUUUAGUUGUUAUCGCAUGAUAUUUGGGUAUAAUUAUUCUUUUUGAGAAUUUUAAAUUCUUAUUUUAUGUGUUAUUUUCGCCAUUUUCCAUUUAUUAUAUAACAAAAGGUAGUUUAUGUAAAGUUUUUUUGUCCAUCAUUUUGCAAUACUCCUUUCAUUUUCUUAGUUUCAAACCAGAUCUUUCUUUUGUUUUCUUUUCAAAGUAACAACUUAAAUGGGCUUAAUGCUUUUCCUUGUUUUUUUGCCUUUUGAAUUCGAUGCUUAGGUGUAAUCUAUACUAGGAUUGGAUGUAAUAUUAUGAAUUACAUGUAUUUUGAAUUACAUCUGGGAGAGAAGAGAAUAGGACACUGUCAAAUUUAACGUUUGUCCUGAAUUUGGUUAUUGUAGUUGUGAUCUCAUUCCUUUGAUGGAGAUAUAUUAAUUUGAGUAUUUCAAUCGCUAAUAAAAACUAAGAAACGGAUUUUAGGAGCUCUGUAUUAGGAUUUUGUGAAAGUUUUGAUUCACAACUUUCUCCAUUAUCUUCCAUUGGUAGUUUGGCUUGACCCUAGUUGUGUUAAAUAUGUUUUAGAAAAGAAUUACAACAAGAAGGGAUACACGGUCUUACCUUGUUAUACAAAUAAGUUAAGGAGAAAUGGAAGUCCUCUUUAUUUGUGAAUGUGGAUAGAGGAAACCCUAUAUUUGAAUUUUUGAAUUAGACCAUUUUUUGUCAAUUGUGUGGUUUUUUCAAGUUGAAGUAUUUUUUCAAAUUUUAACUUCUUGUGGUUGGACAAAAUUUUCAUGUGAAUCAUAGAUAUAGGGGUUAUAGUAAUAGUGAUUGGAUUUCAAGGAUAUGAUUUACUACUCUAUGCUAUUUAGGAUGCUUAUUCUUGAUUUUUUUCUGACUGAUCUCACUGCAUCCCAUAACUAUUGCAUCCCCUUUUACUACUUUAGAUCAAGUGGAAGUAUCAUGUGUUACUUUUUAAAGGGAUCAUUACAUGAUUUAUUUGGUCACUUUUCGUAAAUUUUUUCCAUCUUUCAAACCAAACAACUUUUUUUUAUUAAAUCUAGAGAUAUAAAUUGAUCUUCAUGUGUACAGGAAACAUAUAUUUCUCCAUAAUACUAAUAUAUUAAAGAUUUGCUAUAUAAAUUUCCCUUUUUAUAUAUGUCUAAAACUUUUACUAAUUUUAAUUUAUUCUGACUAAACAUUUCUAUUUGUUCUUUUAUAUCUAUUAGAGAUUCUAGUCUUGUUUCGGAUUCUGUAUUUCUACUUAAUAUUCUUAAUAAAAGAUUCCCUACUAAUUUACUGCUACUAGCUAUGAUUUGCUUUUCUUUAUCCAUUAUGUAUAGAUCCACUUAGUUUUCAUUAAUCUACUAGGUUCUUUAGUUUUACCUAAAUCUAAUUUUUCUUGUUUAUUUAUUAUAUUAACUAAAUUUUGUCUAUUAUCAAUCGACUUUUCUUUUUCUAAUGCUUUAACUGUGCUUUCCAAUUUUUCUAAGUUAGGACUAGAUUCCGUUUCUUCUAUAUUAUUAGAUUUUCUUUUUAGUAUUUUGGUAUUUUUAUUUUUAAUAUAUUCUAGAUUAGUUUCUAAAAUCUUUAUAUAAAGUUUCUACUCUUUUAUUUGAAUUGUUCCUGUCUAAAUCUUCUCCUAAAUUUACAAGUCUACAAUACUAUUUAAUUGUUUAUCUUCACUAUAUAAAGUAUGUUUAAACUUAUUAUCAAAAUUAGAAAUUAGAGAAGAUGCUUCUAAGUUAUCUUUUCUUUUAUAGUUUCCUAAAAUUUCUAAAUUUAAAUACUCAAUUCUUUUCAUAAACUAUAAAUGUUUGACUGUUCUAGGCUCUGAAACCAAUUCGUAGCAAAAUUUUGAAAAUAACAAAUAAGAAAAUUUUCUAUGUAGAUACCAAUUAGAGCAACUAGAAACUAAUAAAAUAUUUGGGUGGCAAUUCUUUGUACAAUCAAUUCAAAAUCUUGUAGCAAAAAUUUUUUGUAAUAAAAAGUCUUGUACUAAAAUUUUGAAAAAGUCUACGUGUCAAUUUAAUUCUGUUUGAAAAAUUUGUGAAAAAAAGUCUUAUCUUAUAUUUUUAUAGUAAAAUUCUCUACAUAGGUAUAUUAAUAAAAGAAAGAAAAAGUCUUUAAGCAAAUAAGAAAAAGUCUAUCUAUUAAUUAAGAGAAAAUGACAACUCUUCUUACUAAUUAAAAAGUCUUCAAAUUAUGUAUCUAAAAAUUUACACACAUUCUGAAUACUAAAUUUUUCCUAGCAAUAAAUAUUUUUUAGACUUUUCUUCAUAUCAAUAAAUUUGGCAAUAAAAAGUCUACUGCACUAACUACCAAUUUCAAGAAAGUUAAAUUUGACAGUACCCCCUUUGUUUUUCAAUGAUAGAUUAACAAGUUGGAUUACAAGAUGUUCAAGAGGGAAGGAUGUAAGCACUACCAUACUCUUGAGGAGAUAUUUAGCAGGAUUACAGCUAUUGGAGGAUUAGGCAAUGCUUCCACUCAACUUCCAAACACAUCAGAGGAAGAAAUGCAAUUCAAAGAUGAUUUUUUGAACAGAUGAGUGCAUGUACGUACAGAAAAUGAUGAUGAAGUCGAUAAGGUUUCAAAUACUCGUUAACAUUACGAAAUUGGUACAUGGGGUGAACGCCAACGUAAGGAACCUAAGGUCAGUAAAAAUGAUAAACUCGAGGCCUGCAUGGCACAGUGAUCAUCUACAAUUAGUUUGAGGAAUGAAGAAACUGAACUUAGGACACUUUACCUAAAAGAAAAGUUUGCAAAGAUUCAAGGAAAAUCAUGUAAUCAAUCAGAUAGUGAAGUUAAUAAUCUGGAUCCUUAUUCAAAUGUUAUUUGCUUGGACAUCUUAAACAAUAUGGUACGGGUGUCCAAUGAGAUUUAUAUGAAGCAAUAAAGGCUUUUAAGGAUCCUGAUUUCAAAGUGUCAUUUGUGAAGAUGCCAAAAGCAAGGAGAUGACCUAU
rnacentral:lncRNA from 1 species